CCUACGGGAGGCAGCAGUGAGGAAUAUUGGUCAAUGGGCGGAAGCCUGAACCAGCCAUCCCGCGUGCAGGAAGACAGCCCUAUGGGUUGUAAACUGCUUUUCCAGUGGGCGAAACACUCGUACGUGUACGAGAUUGACGGUACACUGGGAAUAAGCAUCGGCUAACUCCGUGCCAGCAGCCGCGGUAAUACGGAGGAUGCAAGCGUUAUCCGGAUUUAUUGGGUUUAAAGGGUGCGUAGGCGGAUGAAUAAGUCAGUGGUGAAAGGCUGCAGCUUAACUGUAGACUUGCCGUUGAUACUGUAGGGCUAGGAUUUGGUUGCUGUGGGUGGAAUGUGUGGUGUAGCGGUGAAAUGCUUAGAUAUCACACAGAAUAUCGAUUGCGAAGGCAGCUCACAAAGCCAAGAUUGACGCUGAGGCACGAAAGUGUGGGGAUCAAACAGGAUUAGAUACCCUGGUAGUCCACACUGUAAACGAUGAUAACUCGCUGCCGGCGAUACACAGUCGGUGGCCAAGCGAAAGCGAUAAGUUAUCCACCUGGGGAGUACGACCGCAAGGUUGAAACUCAAAUGAAUUGACGGGUUUGCGU
rnacentral:rRNA from 1 species